GGCAGCCGCGGUAAUUCCAGCUCCAAUAGCGUAUAUUAAAGUUGUUGCAGUUAAAAAGCUCGUAGUUGAAUUUCGGGGUUAGUAGGUUGGUCAUGCCUCUGGUAUGUACUGGUCUCACUGAUUCCUCCUUCCUGAUGAACCUUAAUGCCAUUAAUUUGGUGUUUUGGGGAAUUUGGACUGUUACUUUGAAAAAAUUAGAGUGUUUAAAGUAAGCUAACGCUUGAAUACAUUAGCAUGGAAUAAUGAAAUAGGACGUUCGAUCCUAUUUUGUUGGUUUCUAGGAUUGACGUAAUGAUUAAUAGGGAUAGUUGGGGGCAUUAGUAUUCAAUUGUCAGAGGUGAAAUUCUUGGAUUUAUUGAAGACUAACUACUGCGAAGGCAUUUGCCAAGGAUGUUUUCAUUAAUCAAGAACGAAAGUUAGGGGAUCGAAGACGAUCAGAUACCGUCGUAGUCUUAACCAUAAACUAUGCCGACUAGGGAUCGGAUGAUGUUAAUUUUAUAAUGACUC
rnacentral:rRNA from 1 species